rnacentral:rRNA from 1 species
UGCAGUCGAGCGAAUGGAUGGGAGCUUGCUCCCUGAAGUUAGCGGCGGACGGGUGAGUAACACGUGGGCAACCUGCCUGUAAGACUGGGAUAACUUCGGGAAACCGGAGCUAAUACCGGAUAACUUCUUUCCUCGCAUGAGGAAAGGUUAAAAGACGGUUAUGCUGUCACUUACAGAUGGGCCCGCGGCGCAUUAGCUAGUUGGUGAGGUAACGGCUCACCAAGGCGACGAUGCGUAGCCGACCUGAGAGGGUGAUCGGCCACACUGGGACUGAGACACGGCCCAGACUCCUACGGGAGGCAGCAGUAGGGAAUCUUCCGCAAUGGACGAAAGUCUGACGGAGCAACGCCGCGUGAGUGAAGAAGGUCUUCGGAUCGUAAAACUCUGUUAUCAGGGAAGAAUAAGUACCGUGUAACUAACGGUACCUUGACGGUACCUGACCAGAAAGCCACGGCUAACUACGUGCCAGCAGCCGCGGUAAUACGUAGGUGGCAAGCGUUGUCCGGAAUUAUUGGGCGUAAAGCGCGCGCAGGCGGUUUCUUAAGUCUGAUGUGAAAUCUCGCGGCUCAACCGUGAGCGGUCAUUGGAAACUGGGAAACUUGAGUGCAGAAGAGAAGAGCGGAAUUCCACGUGUAGCGGUGAAAUGCGUAGAGAUGUGGAGGAACACCAGUGGCGAAGGCGGCUCUUUGGUCUGUAACUGACGCUGAGGCGCGAAAGCGUGGGGAGCGAACAGGAUUAGAUACCCUGGUAGUCCACGCCGUAAACGAUGAGUGCUAAGUGUUAGAGGGUUUCCGCCCUUUAGUGCUGCAGCAAACGCAUUAAGCACUCCGCCUGGGGAGUACGGCCGCAAGGCUGAAACUCAAAGGAAUUGACGGGGGCCCGCACAAGCGGUGG